CUGGAAGUCCACGGUCAGCCACACCACGCUUCCCAAACUCUUCUCCCUUUCAGUGAUCUUUAAAAGGCACUUGCUUACCGCAGAUCCCUAUCCAGCGCCGGGGUGAGGAGCAUCCCCAGGACCACGGAGGAGCCCGCAGCUUCCCGGUCCCAGCGGAGCGAUGCUUCCCGGCGGGACCCCGCGCGUUCUUCCCGGCUGAUGGAGCCCAAGUUUUGACCGGUGCCACCCACCAAGCCAAGGGAAGGAUUGGCCAAGGAGGAAGAGCCAAGCAGCCCAAAAUCCAAAACAGCUUCACUAAAGUCAACUUCAAGAGGAAAUGAAUA